AGAGUUUGAUCCUGGCUCAGGACGAACGCUGGCGGCGUGCCUAAUACAUGCAAGUCGAGCGGGAACCUCGGGAGGGGUAACCCUUCCGAGGGGAGAGCGGCGAACGGGUGAGUAACACGUGGGCAACCUGCCCCGGACACCGGGAUAACUCAGGGAAACCUGGGCUAAUACCGGAUACUUCGGCGUGAUCGCAUGGUCGUGCCGGGAAAGCUCCGACGGUCCGGGAUGGGCCCGCGGCCUAUCAGCUUGUUGGUGGGGUAACGGCCUACCAAGGCGGCGACGGGUAGCUGGUCUGAGAGGACGGCCAGCCACACUGGGACUGAGACACGGCCCAGACUCCUACGGGAGGCAGCAGUAGGGAAUCUUGCGCUAAUGCGCGAAAGCGUGACGCAGCGACGCCGCGUGCGGGAUGAAGGCCCUCGGGUCGUAAACCGCUUUCGGCAGGGACGAAGCGAAAGUGACGGUACCUGCAGAAGAAGUCCCGGCUAACUACGUGCCAGCAGCCGCGGUAACACGUAGGGGACGAGCGUUGUCCGGAUUCAUUGGGCGUAAAGAGCGCGUAGGCGGCUCGGAAAGUCGGUCGUGAAAUCCUGGGGCUCAACCCCGGAACUGCGUCCGAUACUUCCGAGCUGGAGGCAGGUAGGGGAGAUCGGAAUUCCUGGUGUAGCGGUGAAAUGCGCAGAUAUCAGGAGGAACACCGGUGGCGAAGGCGGAUCUCUGGGCCUUGCCUGACGCUGAGGCGCGAAAGCUAGGGGAGCGAACAGGAUUAGAUACCCUGGUAGUCCUAGCCGUAAACGUUGGGUGCUAGGUGUGGGCGGAUAUCGACCCCGUCCGUGCCGAAGCUAACGCAUUAAGCACCCCGCCUGGGGAGUACGGCCGCAAGG
rnacentral:rRNA from 1 species